AGAGUUUGAUCCUGGCUCAGGAUGAACGCUAGCGGCAGGCCUAAUACAUGCAAGUCGAACGGUGAUAGCAAUAUCAUAGUGGCGCACGGGUGCGUAACACGUAUGCAACCUACCUUAUACUGAGGGAUAGCCUUUCGAAAGGGAGAUUAAUACCUCAUAACACAUUGAACUGGCAUCAGUUUAUUGUUAAAGAUUUAUUGGUAUAAGAUGGGCAUGCGUCCAAUUAGUUAGUUGGCGAGGUAACGGCUCACCAAGACGAUGAUUGGUAGGGGAACUGAGAGGUUAAUCCCCCACACUGGCACUGAGAUACGGGCCAGACUCCUACGGGAGGCAGCAGUAGGGAAUAUUGGGCAAUGGAGGCAACUCUGACCCAGCCAUGCCGCGUGCAGGAAGAAGGCGUUAUGCGUUGUAAACUGCUUUUAUAUAGGAAGAAAUAGACCUUGCGAGGUAAGUUGACGGUACUAUAUGAAUAAGCACCGGCUAACUCCGUGCCAGCAGCCGCGGUGAUACGGAGGGUGCAAGCGUUGUCCGGAUUUAUUGGGUUUAAAGGGUGCGUANGCGGUUUAUUAAGUCAGUGGUGAAAGACGGUCGCUCAACGAUUGCAGUGCCAUUGAUACUGGUAGACUUGA
rnacentral:rRNA from 1 species